CUUGCUUUCUUUGCUGGCGACCGGCGCACGGGUGAGUAACACGUAUCCAACCUGCCCUUUACUCGGGGAUAGCCUUUCGAAAGAAGGAUUAAUACCCGAUAGCAUAAUGAUUCCGCAUGGUUUCAUUAUUAAAGGAUUCCGGUAAAGGAUGGGGAUGCGUUCCAUUAGGUUGUUGGUGGGGUAACGGCCCACCAAGCCUUCGAUGGAUAGGGGUUCUGAGAGGAAGGUCCCCCACAUUGGAACUGAGACACGGUCCAA
rnacentral:rRNA from 1 species